rnacentral:lncRNA from 1 species
AGAGGGCCGAUCCAGUUCUUUCCGGCUGGAAUGGGGAAUUUGUGAGGUAGGCCGGAAGUGGUGUUGCGGAGGGAACUGUGGGGAGAGCAGAGGGGCAGCUCUGCUGGAGAGACCUGAGGCUUGCAUCGCUGGGCCCGGCCGGGUCGCUGCGGCUGGGCUGGAGGUGAGGCGAAAGAAGGGCAUCCUCUGAUGGGAGUGGACCGGAGUCCGCUAAAGCGAAGCAUUCCAGGGUUCGUUGCGGGAAAUACAGUCUGGUUUUGCCCCCCGUAUGAAUUGAGGGAAGCCAAGGUUAACUAUUUGUAACAUGUCAUCUUUCAAGGAAGCAUCUAACCAAGAUUAAGUCAAAGGCAUCUACCAGGUCCUGAAUUCUCUCCCAGAUGCACACCUUUUAAGGUCAAGGAUGCAUUCCAGGAAAGUUCUAUAAAAAUAUACCAUCAACUCCAACCUGAUAUUUGACCUAGCCAUGGAAAACCUCAUUGGCUCCUCACUGGAUCAGACCAUAAAAAUGAUCCAGGAAUGAAAAUCUAAGAUAAAUUCCCACCACUUCAAGAUGUUCUUAUACAAGUCAACAGUCUAGCAGAUCAGCCAGUCUCUUUCAUCAUCAAGCAGACAUACUCAAGAAAGAGGAAUAGUGAAGUGAAAUACACAGAAGCAUGUUCAAGUUCAUCUGUUGAAUCUGGAAUUGUGAAUAGUGACAAUAUUGAGAAAAAUACUGACUCCAAUCUGCAAACUUCAACUUCAUUUGAGCCACAUUUCAAAAAGAAAAAAAAGAAAAAUUUGAAACAUUAAGGGAAAACAGUUGGGUAAAAGAUCCAUUUGCUUUUCGAAACCCUGAAUCAAUAAUUGAGCUAAACUUGGUGCCUGAAGAAGAGAAUGAAUUAUUGCAGCUUAGUUCUUCAUAUACAUUGAAGAAUGAUUAUGAAACCUUAAGUUUAUCAGCAUUUUGGAUGAAGGUAAAGGAAGACUUUCCAUUGUUAAGUAGAAAGAGUGUCCUGCUAUUGCUACCAUUCACAACAACUAGUUUGUGUGAACUAGGGUUUUCCAUCUUAACGCAGUUAAAAACAAAGGAAAGAAAUGGGCUGAAUUGUGCAGCAGCUAUGCGGGUAGCAUUAUCUUCCUGUGUUCCAGACUGGAAUGAACUUAUGAACAGGCAAGCACACCCAUCAUAGUAAAUAAAAAU